GUGUGUUCCAGGUAAAUCCGGUUCACUUUAACACUGAGGCGUGAUGACGAGGCACUACGGUGCUGAAGCAACAAAUGCCCUGCUUCCAGGAAAAGCCUCUAAGCAUCAGGUAACAUCAAAUCGUACCCCAAACCGACACAGGUGGUCAGGUAGAGAAUACCAAGGCGCUUGAGAGAACUCGGGUGAAGGAACUAGGCAAAAUGGUGCCGUAACUUCGGGAGAAGGCACGCUGACACGUAGGUGAAGUGAUUUACUCAUGGAGCUGAAGUCAGUCGAAGAUACCAGCUGGCUGCAACUGUUUAUUAAAAACACAGCACUGUGCAAACACGAAAGUGGACGUAUACGGUGUGACGCCUGCCCGGUGCCGGAAGGUUAAUUGAUGGGGUCAGCGCAAGCGAAGCUCCUGAUCGAAGCCCCGGUAAACGGCGGCCGUAACUAUAACGGUCCUAAGGUAGCGAAAUUCCUUGUCGGGUAAGUUCCGACCUGCACGAAUGGCGUAAUGAUGGCCAGGCUGUCUCCACCCGAGACUCAGUGAAAUUGAACUCGCUGUGAAGAUGCAGUGUACCCGCGGCAAGACGGAAAGACCCCGUGAACCUUUACUAUAGCUUGACACUGAACAUUGAGCCUUGAUGUGUAGGAUAGGUGGGAGGCUUUGAAGUGUGGACGCCAGUCUGCAUGGAGCCGACCUUGAAAUACCACCCUUUAAUGUUUGAUGUUCUAACGUGGACCCGUGAUCCGGGUUGCGGACAGUGUCUGGUGGGUAGUUUGACUGGGGCGGUCUCCUCCUAAAGAGUAACGGAGGAGCACGAAGGUUGGCUAAUCCUGGUCGGACAUCAGGAGGUUAGUGCAAUGGCAUAAGCCAGCUUGACUGCGAGCGUGACGGCGCGAGCAGGUGCGAAAGCAGGUCAUAGUGAUCCGGUGGUUCUGAAUGGAAGGGCCAUCGCUCAACGGAUAAAAGGUACUCCGGGGAUAACAGGCUGAUACCGCCCAAGAGUUCAUAUCGACGGCGGUGUUUGGCACCUCGAUGUCGGCUCAUCACAUCCUGGGGCUGAAGUAGGUCCCAAGGGUAUGGCUGUUCGCCAUUUAAAGUGGUACGCGAGCUGGGUUUAGAACGUCGUGAGACAGUUCGGUCCCUAUCUGCCGUGGGCGCUGGAGAACUGAGGGGGGCUGCUCCUAGUACGAGAGGACCGGAGUGGACGCAUCACUGGUGUUCGGGUUGUCAUGCCAAUGGCACUGCCCGGUAGCUAAAUGCGGAAGAGAUAAGUGCUGAAAGCAUCUAAGCACGAAACUUGCCCCGAGAUGAGUUCUCCCUGAGACUUUAGGUCUCCUGAAGGAACGUUGAAGACGACGACGUUGAUAGGCCGGGUGUGUAAGCGCAGCGAUGCGUUGAGCUAACCGGUACUAAUGAACCGUGAGGCUUAACCUU
rnacentral:rRNA from 1 species